rnacentral:rRNA from 1 species
AGUGGCGGACGGGUGAGUAACGCGUGAGAAUCUGCCUUGGGGUCGGGGACAACCACUGGAAACGGUGGCUAAUACCGGAUACGCCUUCGGGUAAAAGAUUUAUUGCCCUAAGAGGAGCUCGCGUCUGAUUAGCUAGUUGGUGAGGUAAGAGCUCACCAAGGCAGCGAUCAGUAGCUGGUCUGAGAGGACGAUCAGCCACACUGGGACUGAGACACGGCCCAGACUCCUACGGGAGGCAGCAGUGGGGAAUUUUCCGCAAUGGGCGAAAGCCUGACGGAGCAAGACCGCGUGAGGGAGGAAGGCUCUUGGGUUGUAAACCUCUUUUCUCAGGGAAGAAGCUCUGACGGUACCUGAGGAAUCAGCCUCGGCUAACUCCGUGCCAGCAGCCGCGGUAAUACGGAGGAGGCAAGCGUUAUCCGGAAUUAUUGGGCGUAAAGCGUCCGCAGGUGGCGAUUCAAGUCUGCUGUCAAAGCACGGGGCUUAACUCCGUAAAGGCAGUGGAAACUGAAUAGCUAGAGUGCCGAAGGGGUAGAGGGAAUUCCCGGUGUAGCGGUGAAAUGCGUAGAGAUCGGGAAGAACAUCGGUGGCGAAAGCGCUCUACUGGACGGCAACUGACACUCAGGGACGAAAGCUAGGGGAGCGAAUGGGAUUAGAUACCCC